GAAGGAAAUGAAACAUAAAGCAUAAAGCUGGAUGGUGAAGUGUCAGCCAACAUGACCUUUAGACCCCAUAACUAAAAAAUCAGCUCCUUUUGUUUUGAAGGAUCCUCAAACAUGAAGAGAAACACCUUCAGAAACGAAAGAAGUCUGAUUUCUGACAGUUUGUUUAAGGACACCAGUGAGUCAGAUCCAGCUCACAUCAACAGGACAGAACUCCAGAUCCUGCAGUGAGGAUUGUGAGAAGAACUCUGCCCAAGACUGAAGCCUCAUUCAGAAACGCUGAGCCAGAAGGGAAUGCUGGAAGAGGCAGAUGGAAAAGGAAACAAUGCAUCAUAAAUAAAUCAAAAACAUGCACAAUGUGUCCUGUGAUGUCCCUGAUUACCUGAUGCCCAAAUGCAGAUCCACUUCUCCCUGCAAACAGUCAAAGUCACAUGGACGUGCAGAUCAUGUCUAUAUUGAGUCUGUUGGUCUAGACCAGGGGUGUCAAACAUGCGGCCCACGGGCCGGAUCCCGCAAGCAGGUUAAAUCCGGCCCACGAGAUGGUUGUGUAAACUUUAUUUUCAUACUUUACAAUGUAGAGUGGAAAUAAACUUAUCUUUGUGAGCAAGUUUCCUCUGUAAUGAGUAUAAAUAAAACAAAGCUGCGCUCAAGGCUCACACAAGAACUUGAAUCACAUCCUGAAGUUGGCCGCCACUCAGGAUGUGACUUCUGAUAUUGAUGUGCUGGUGAAAGCUAAAAGAUGUAAAGUAAAAUGAGUCAAAUAUACUUUAAGUGCUGCAUGAAACUGAUCUAGCCAUGUGAUCUGUAAGCACUAAGGAAUUUUUAUUUAUUGAUUGAUUUUUUUUUAUUUAUUUCAAAUUUUCAAGUACACUUCAGGUGUCAUACUUGUACUAUUUUGGAUACACUGUCCUCAGGCUCCAGCCUUGUUUUAUAUUGAUUGUAUUAAAACAAAGAAAACAAUCUGAAGUUGUUUUUAAUUUACCGGUCCGGCCCACUUGGGACUAGAUUUCUCGCAAUGUGGCCCCUGAGCUAAAAUGAGUUUGACACCCCUGGUCUCGACCAUGUCUGUAGGACGUCCAAACUAGGUCUUUGCACAGUGGGUAUGAAACGUUGCAUGAUUUAGUUCUGAUAUUUUUAUUUAGAAAAUAGUUUUAGUCAUAUAUAGCAGAUAAACUAUUCACAGAUGUAGCACAGGAAAACAUAAAAUCCUGAAAAAAUAACCGAGAAUCCAGCUGGAAAACAUUUUAUUCACAUAUUUUUGUAUUGAUAGUUUUAUUCUUCAUUUAAUAAUUUUUUUAACAUUUAUCAGAUUGUUUGCUCACUUCAAGAAAUAUCUUUAUUUGAUUUUCUGAGGUGAAUUUAAACUCCCUGACAGUAACAUCUGAUCUACAGAUACUGUACACGAAGAUAAAUCCCUCCUUUUCUUGCCGUUUGUGCAGAAAGUCGGUGUAUUUAAUUAUAUUCCAGUAGUUUUUUUAAAUGGUACUGGAGUUCACCACCGUCUGCCAGAACUGGCACAUUUUGUAUAGUUUCCUCUUCACCGUCUGAACAUGAUUAAGUGAAUAAAAAAAAACACUCAAGUUUACAAAGAUGUGAGCUGAAAAGGGAAAACUGUACAUCUUUAUAUUAUAUUGCACUGCAGUGCACAACAUGGAGUGAGAUAAAGGGAUCUGAUGACCUUAAAUCAAACCUUUCUCCAGGCUCAUCUUCUCUGACCUCACUGUCAUGGCUCUGUGCCCUGCGCCGGUCUGGCAUGCGUUUAGAAACAUUUCCACUCAGGCAAAGUGUCUCUUGUGUGUAAACUGUGAAAAUGAGUGUUUUUCUUUCACGCUGACAAGUGAAUGAAAAGUAAAUAGAGCAGAUUUAUGACGCGCAGUCAACACAAAGGUGAGAAGAAUGCAUCAAACCCAUUUCCUCUGAGUGCUUCCUUUUUGGCACAGCACUAAAAUACUAUUUUUGUCUUGUUGUUCUUCAGUGGGUCAGUAAAAAGUCACGUGUGCAGCUUUUCUGCUGACCUGAUCCCAUCUAGACUUUACCUCUGUGGUCCCUUUAUCUUUAGGAAGCUUGGGAAUAUUAGCCAGAUGGGAACACAUGAGAACUGUCCUGAUUCUUCUUCAUGAGAGGAAAGGUUGAAUAAGUCAUGAUGGAUUUUGUUUUUCUAGAAAAGCUGGAUUUCAGUCCAAAUUAGGUUACAUUUUUUCUUCAGGUUCCACAUCAAAGCUCUUUAGACCCUAUUCAUACUUUACAGUAUGAUGAUCAUAUAAUCUGAAUGGUGACAAACUCAGCAAGAGCUCAAUGAGGUCUCAAGAAGACAUUAUGGUUUUCACUGAAGGUAUGCAAAACCUUGUAGUGAGGUCAAAUUAAUGGGUAUUUUUAUGGGUCUGUGACACAGGGCAUGUGUUUACAGGUGUGGCCUCACUAUUAAGAGUUUGAAGCUGACCUCAUGCCUUAUAUGGCCCCACUGUGAUACAAUCGUCAUGGAAACUUUGCUGCUGAUGAAUAAAUCAGUGCAAAGUAAAGCAUAGCGAGGACCUGAAAGACAUUAGGUCAAAACCUGUUUAACCCCGAGCGUGUCAUCAUCAUCGUCAUAAAGCAGUUUUAAUAACUCUAUGUUUUCAUCAUGGAGGGAGACACGGUGUGUCCAGUGUUUAUGCAUCUAGAAGAACUCUAAGAACAUAACCGUUUAACAAUCGUUACUCCAUAAAAUAUCAAGCAAGUGACGUAUGGCCCAUCUAAACAUCAGGGAGAGCAGGAUUCCUUGGCUCUCAGUUUUCGGGUUUAUUCAUGAUAUUUGUGGUUUGCAGACAUUUCAUCCUGUCACCUGCUUGCUUACUUUUAACAUGAAGAAAGAAAUCGUUGUAAAAAUCUCUCAGACCUCAGCACUCCCCGACCGCUCGCUGGCGCUGACUUAUUUUUGGAAACUGCACUCAUUUGAGUAAUUUCCAUUAAAAAGCCACUGACAGGCUCAAGAGGCAGAAAGCAGUGGAUUUAAAAAUCCAGAGGAGCAGUAAAUUGUAAGCGGGGGGUCUGGGUGUGGAUGUUGACUGAAGCUCUUAUUGGGAUAUUUAAUGGAUAACUUCAGUGAAGCGAGGAGGAGGUCCAUUGUGUCCAGCUCUGCAGCCUCUUGGCUGCUGGCCUCAGCUACACACAUGGCACCACACACCAGGGUACCGCUUUGAUGUACAGCUGCUCCAAGGAGCUGGAGAGGGAAACAAAAAUUCCAUUUAGAUAAAAAAGAUCUGUUGGGAUGUGGGAGACAAGGUUGGUUUGAGACGAGGAACACGAGGACAGCAGCCGAUGAAGAGUAUAAUAAAAUAACUACACCUCUCUUAUCUGGUCUGGAGUUGUUUCUUCACAUGAAGGUUUUCAUUCACAUGAAACGCAGAAUGAGAAGAAUCAUGAAUUAUACCGUGAGCCCGUUCCUCAAUGUGCAGGACAGCCAGGCUGGAGUUGGGGUGGGAUAUGCAAAUAGAGGCUGUCUGCCUGCCCCUUCAUAGGCAGCAGGGCUGCAC